rnacentral:rRNA from 1 species
UCUGGUUGAUCCUGCCAGUAGUCAUAUGCUUGUCUCAAAGAUUAAGCCAUGCAUGUCUAAGUAUAAACACGAUUGUACGGUGAAACUGCAGAAUGCUCAUUACAACAGUUAUAGUUUAUUUGACAAUGAAGAAUUACACGGAUAACCGUGGCAACUCCAGGGCUAAUACAUGAUAAAAUCUCAUCUUCGGAUGGGUGGACAUAUUAGUUUAAAACCAAUUUCGGUUGAACAAUAAUAUAAUUCGGAUCGCGCAGGUUUCGGCCCACGACAUGUCAUUCAAGUUUCUGACCUAUUAGCCAGACGGUAAGGUAUUGGCAUACCGUGGCAUUGACGGGUACGGGGAAUUACGGUUCGGUUCCGGAGAGGCAGCCUGAGAAACGGCUACCACUUCUAUGGAAGGCGGCAGGCGCGCAAAUUACCCACUUCUGACCCAGAGAUGUAGUGACAAGAAAUAACGAUGAGAUGCCUUAUGGUAACUUAAUCGGAAUGAGAACAAUCUAAAAACCUUAUCGAGUAACCAGUGGAGGGCAAGUCUGGU